AAUGAUACUUCCCUGAACCUGACUGGAAAAGGGCCCGCGACGUAGGGAUUGCGGGGGAACGCUCGUCACGUUUGAAAAAGAAUGUGGGGAGGUUUC
rnacentral:sRNA from 1 species